ensembl:lncRNA LINC00523 long intergenic non-protein coding RNA 523
GGUGUACACAGCAGGAAGCUGUGCUCUUCCUGAUGGACGUCAGCUCCUAUCUCUCCUGGGGAGUGGAGGCUGCUCUGGAGUGGGGCCAAGAUCGGGAGGCCCAGGAGAGAAAAGGGCCUGCAAUCUACCUCCCAGUCAACAAGAUGCUAUAAUAAAAACAUAGCCAACUGUCACUCAGCGUUUAUUACGGUGCCAGAUGAGGAAACAGGUGCAGAACCGUGGAGUAACCUGCGCAGGGUCUCCAGUAGAAAAACAGGCCCUUGGUCAGAUGAAUUUACCCACUUCGGCCACCAGGGGCGCUGUUGGCACAGCUUGAACUCGAGACCAGCGCUGUCCAACGGAAACCGAACGUGAGGAACGUGAGCUUGGGGAGGCAGAGGACAAAGCCUGGCCUGCAAGACACUGAGCUUCACCUCUUCCAGGAGGACGACAUCAUCACCAUUUCUCAGAUGAGGAAACUGAGGCUCAGAGAGAUGCAGUGACCCACCAAGGCUGAGUGCAGGAAUGUUGGCCCUCAGCAUCCACCCUGGGCCCUGCAUUGCCCUGGUUGUCUAUGUGGCCCCAGCCCUCCUGGGCCAUUUUGAUCUGUUUUGUGCAUUUGGGGCACGUGUAUGAGAGCAUGUUUGGAGAACUAUGCUUUAUAGCAAGAAGGUUUGAAAUCACCAGACUCAGCCUUUCAGCGUAGGAGGGAGACUGAGGCUGGAGAGGGCGAGGCAGGAGCCUGGCCCACAUGCAGGGCCGGGAGUCUCCCUGGGCAGCAGAGGGUCUGGGCAGAACAUGGAUGUCCAUACGGUUAUUAAGAAGGGGUGGCUGGGCACCCUGCCCGAAAUGUCCUCGGUCACCCACUCACGUUCCAGGAGGCAACUGGGCCCCGGGAAGCGAAUUCUCCAGG